rnacentral:lncRNA from 1 species
CAGAGCAGGAGAUACAGCUCCCGUUCAGAGCAGGGCAGAUGCUCCUUUGCGUGCAUCCCUGUGCCCUAAGACUGAGUCAGCGUGUGGGAGCACUGGUGGAUGGAUGCACCAACCUGAGCUGCAGCUGCAAACUCAAUGUCUUCAGGCACAUGUAACAUAGUUUUUAAUACUGGUCUUACUACAUGUGGAUAUUGCACUGCUGGGGUUAGCUGAAGCUCAGUGGGGUUUCGGAUCUGACAUUGCCUUCUCCUUAUGGCAGUGGAACCAUUAGGCAGUCGCAGUCACUCUGGUGGGGGUGAUAAGAGCACUGUGCUAGGGAAACAGCGAGGCAUCAUCAGGAGGACUGGAAGGAUGAUGAGAACUUAAG